UGACUCACGUCGAUUUGAACUCAAAUCAUGUAAGAUUUUAAAAGUCGAACAGACUUAAUUAUUAAACUUCUUCAUUUAAAAUUUAUCUUAAUUCAACAUCGAGGUCGCAAUCAUCUUUAUCAAUUUGAUCUUUAAAAAGAUAUUACGCUGUUAUCCCUAAGGUAAUUUUAUCUUUCAAUUUAUAUUACAAGAUCACUAAAAUUCUCAAAUUAAAGUUUACUUUUAAAAUAAAGUUAUUCAAAUUUACCAAUCCUCCCAAUUAAAUAUUAAUAAUUAAAAUAUAUUUAAUUUAAUUAAUAAUAUAAAAUUCUAUAGGGUCUUAUCGUCCCAUAAAUUUAUUUUAGCAUUUUUACUAAAAUUUUAAAUUAAUUACAUAUAUAUGAGACAGUAUAUAUCUCAUUAAUUCUUUCAUCCCAGUUUCCAAUUAAAAAACAAUUGAUUAUGCUACCUUUGUACAGUUAGAUAUACUGCAGCCAUUUAAAAAAAAUAUUCAUUGGGCAGAUAGACUUAAAAUUAAAAUCAUUAAGCCAUGUUUUUGA
rnacentral:rRNA from 1 species